GGAGGAGUGCCUGAGUGGUUGAAAGGGCCGGUCUCGAAAACCGGUGUACCGGUCUCCGGUACCGUGGGUUCGAAUCCCACCUCCUCCGCUA
rnacentral:tRNA from 1 species